AGCGAAGGGGUGGGGUGGGAUCUUGGUCCAGCUGGUACUGGAGCGGCGACAAUUUUGGCUAGUCUAAGAAGGGCAUUCGAGUGACCGUUGACAACGGGUGGGACAGCGUCAGAGCUGGAGGGAGAGCCAGCACUGUAUGCUUCCAGGACUUCUUGCUAGGUGCAUUAGUUUUUAUUUUUAAGAGUUGGGUAAAAGACAUUAAUUAGUUAGCAUCUCACUCAUCGGCGAUUUUCUACGGUAUGAUUUCAUCCAAAGAGGAUUUCUUAAUCGCACUGUGUGACACCGUUAGGGGACUUAGAGUGUCACUCGCCGCCUUAAAUCCUUUCGGGAACAAGCCAGGAUAUAAAUAAAUAAAGCUAGGUGUGGGUCUUCCCUUCACAAGGCGCUGGUAGGCAGACUAAAGACAGGCAACAGCUGAGUGUGCACACAGAACUAAAUAUUGAACGAAAUACGAGUGUCGGAAUAAAAUUCAUUGCCAUGUGCACGGCUUAUGAUUAUACAGAUCUUGGACAUAUCACGGACCUGAACGUCAACCCUGCAACACCGGAUAAAACAUCUAAUGUAGCUGGAAUAGACUCUGAAAGGACGUUAGGCAUUAUCUAAAUCAAGUCCCUCAUUUUACAGAUGAGUAAACUGACUCAGUGAAGUAUUUUGCUCAAGGUCGUUCAUCAAAUUAGUAGUUUAAUUAACUCAGUGUUCUAGGAAGCAGGGUAGUAGAAAAGCAUGGGAUUCGGAGUCUGAAAUCUUCCUUGGUUUCUGGUCCUUGUAGGCUGUUUUACAAGUGUAUCUUGGGCAAAUCCCUUAACGUCUUGCCAUUUAUUAAGGGCUUACUUACCACGUGGCAAACAAUCCACUUUGCAUGCUGUGUCAAUUACAUGCAGUAUGUCGUGUAGUUAUUACUGUCCCCAUUUUAUGAGGUAGUUUAGGUUUAAAGAUAUUAGAAAUUUACCCAAAGUUACGCAGUUAUAAACAUUGUAGUAAUUUCAAACUCAGGUCUUCGUGACUGCAAAGGCUGCUGUCUUAAGUAUUGUAAUACAUUAGAGCUCCGGAUUCCCUCCCACUCAAAACAGAGACUGAGACUCCAACCAAUUUCCACCAUUAUUGGGAGUCAAACGAGAGAGACUGUGGCAAUGUAUUCUAAGCUGUACAAAGGUAUAAACAUAUUCACUAGAUUUGUAGAAUGAAGUUAUUCCUUCCCUAUACUUUCCACUACAACAAUUCAGCCAAAAAGAUGGCUUUCAUACUAAGCAUAAGAAGGAACUUCACUGUAAUUAUGAUAUUCUAACCAAGAAUAUAUGCAUAUCUAGGCAAUAACCAAAGUGAAUAGAAUAAAAUUUAAUUCCUGAUAGAUUAAAUAGGCAAUAGCAAGGAAUGCUAACGCUCCUCAUAGCGUUCUUGUUGGAAGAAUCAUCUAGGAGGCAUUGGGAUUUCUGGUGCUUUUUAAGCAAUGAGAGAUAUCAGUCCACUGAAUGAGGAAGAGAAUAACGUUUAGUUUCGGACUAAAAGUUCAUCUGGACUACGGAAAACACGUUUGCCUCAAUCAGUGAAGAAGGUAUGCUGAGAGCUGAAAGAAAAGGAAAGCAGCAACAGUGAGAGCUCAGAAAUUCCCAGACUGUUUUGAUGAUAAGGUCCAAGAACUUGCCAUGUGAUCCAUCACUACUAGACUCCCACAACUGCAUUAGAUUUGUUCAGGAUUUUCAUAUAAUUUUCAUAACUGGCUAAGUUCUGAAAUAACCCAUCUUGAAGACAUAAACAAUGUGCAUUGAUGGCUAGCCAGACUCUGUCCUGCCACAGUUCUCCUCCUACUCUUCAUUUCUUACCCCAAGGAGUAGUAAACAUGAAUCCUGACCCACCAAUGCAGUCCCAGAACUGAGAAAAGAUUCACUGCAGCUAAACACAUUGGAAAUGGAUGGGGAGAAGGCCUGAUGAAAAUUACUGAGGAAGCCUCUUAGCCUAUGUGCUCUGAGAGUAGUGACACCUAGCAGUCGUUCAAAAGAUGAUCAAGAGGAGCAUGAAAAAAUCCCCUGAAUCCAUUGGCUUUCUUCCCUAUACUGACAACAGUUUACUUGUGUAAGAGAUGCAUGCCUCGACUCCGGACCCCUUCUUUCAUCUGCAAAAUCAGCAGCACCCUCACAUCAUCUCCUGUAACAAACUCUCUCUGUCUCCUCCAUAUAAGGUCACUGAUGGUUACAUUUAGGGUCCAUGAUAUAAGAAGAUGGAUGUCUAUUGCUUUUCUCUUGAUAUUCAUGGCACUGCUCCUCUCCAUCCAUAGGAUUAUCUUAUUCAAGUUGGUGUGUAUCUGCAAAGGCGAUGGAAAGGAGUUCUUACAUAUGCAUAUUCUGAAGAAGGAUGUUACCCUUACUGAAAAACUUAUUCCAAGAUAUGUUUAAUCAAUCAUGAGAAAAAUAAAGAGACAUCCUUAUGAAUGGAGAAUAAAGUCCUCAGGGUUUUUUUCUAAUUCCCCAUGUGAAUGAAGAGCUGUGUUAUUCUAAAUAUAGUGUUUGUCAUAAGGCAAUUGUGUUGGUUUGAGUCCUUAGUCGCUGUGACACUGAUAGAAUUCCUAUCUCCAAUUGGAAGGUAAGUUGACCUUGCCUCACUUUUGGGCAUUUACAAAGUAAAAGUGUCUUCAUAUUCCAGGUUACAAUCCUCAUAGAGAUGCAGGAAGAGUCCAAAACUACCAAGGCAGACAGAAAUGCACCAUUGAGCUCUGCUGUUGAAAGCAUCUGAUGGUGGCCCAUUCUGAUGAGACAUUGGACUUCCCUAGUAGGAAAGUUUGGUUUGGGGACUCCUGUCUUUCUGGCUCAGAUUUUCUUAGAGCUGCACUGCAGUCUGAGACUCUACCUGCCCCACUCUCUUUCUUUCCCUUUCUUGUCAACAACAUCAGUUCUGCAUUGCAGUCUGAAGGAUUUCUCUGCCUGAUCCUGCUUUCUCCUCUUUAUUCUUUGCAGUUGUUUCUAACUGCAGAAUCUCUUGAAAGUCUACUCCCAUCUGGCCGGGCGUGGUGGCUCAUGCCUGUAAUCCUCGCACU
rnacentral:lncRNA from 1 species